UACGUAGGGCGCAAGCGUUGUCCGGAAUUAUUGGGCGUAAAGAGCUCGUAGGUGGUUUGUCGCGUCUGCCGUGAAAACCCGAGGCUUAACCUCGGGCCUGCGGUGGAUACGGGCAAACUAGAGGUAGGUAGGGGAGAACGGAAUUCCCGGUGUAGCGGUGAAAUGCGCAGAUAUCGGGAGGAACACCGGUGGCGAAGGCGGUUCUCUGGGCCUUACCUGACGCUGAGGAGCGAAAGCAUGGGGGAGCGAACAGG
rnacentral:rRNA from 1 species